GUGGGGAAUAUUGCACAAUGGGCGCAAGCCUGAUGCAGCGACGCCGCGUGAGGGAUGAAGGCCUUCGGGUUGUAAACCUCUUUCGCCAGUGAAGCAGGCCACCCAUGAUUAGGGUGGUUGACGGUAGCUGGAUAAGAAGCGCCGGCUAACUACGUGCCAGCAGCCGCGGUAAUACGUAGGGCGCAAGCGUUGUCCGGAAUUAUUGGGCGUAAAGAGCUCGUAGGCGGCUGGUCGCGUCUGCCGUGAAAUCCCCUGGCUUAACUGGGGGCUUGCGGUGGGUACGGGCCGGCUUGAGUGCGGUAGGGGAGACUGGAACUCCUGGUGUAGCGGUGGAAUGCGCAGAUAUCAGGAAGAACACCGGUGGCGAAGGCGGGUCUCUGGGCCGUUACUGACGCUGAGGAGCGAAAGCGUGGGGAGCGAACAGGAUUAGAAACCCCAGUAGUCC
rnacentral:rRNA from 1 species